AUUGAACGCUAGCGGGAUGCCUUACACAUGCAAGUCGAACGGAGUGGCGAACGGGUGAGUAAUGUAUCGGAACGUGCCCAGUAGCUGGGGAUAACUACGCGAAAGCGUAGCUAAUACCGCAUACUUGUGGAGCUGCCGCUAUCGGAUUAGCUCGUUGGUGGGGGUACGGCUUACCAAGGCGACGAUCCUUAGCUGGUUUGAGAGGACGACCAGCCACACUGGGACUGAGACACGGCCCAGACUCCUACGUGAGGCAGCAGUGGGGAAUUUUGGACAAUGGGGGAAAGCCUGAUCCAGCCAUCCCGCGUGUGUGAUGAAGGCCUUCGGGUUGUAAAGCACUUUUGGCAGGAAAGCGGUACCUGCAGAAUAAGCAACGGCUAACUACGUGCCAGCAGCCGCGGUAAUUC
rnacentral:rRNA from 1 species